rnacentral:rRNA from 1 species
GUCUGACCUGCCCAAUGAGGAUUUAAAUGGCCGCAGUAUUUUGACUGUGCAANGGUAGCAUAAUUAUUAGUUUUUUAAUUGAAAGCUUGUAUGAAGGGUUGGACGAGAUAAAAUCUGUCUCUAUUUAGAUUAAAAUAGAAUUUAACUUUUAAGUCAAAAGGCUUAAAUGUANUAAAAGACGAGAAGACCCUAUAGAUCUUUAUUUAAAUUAGAUUUUAAUAAUUUAGGAUUAUUUUAAUUUAAAUUUUAAUUUAAAUUUUAUUGGGGUAAUAUAAAGAUUAAAUAAAUUCUUUUUAUUUAUNACAUUAAUUUAUGAAUUUGUGAUCCAUUAUUAGUGAUUAGAAGAUUAAGUUACCUUAGGGAUAACAGCGUAAUUUUUUUGGAGAGCUCAUAUCGAUAAAAAAGUUUGCGACCUCGAUGUUGGAUUAAAAAUUAGCUUGGGUGCAGAAGCUCAAGAGUUUGGUCUGUUCGACCAUUAAAUUUUUACAUGAUCUGAGUUCAGACCGGCGUAAGCCAGGUCGGUUUCUAUCUUUAUUUAGUUAAAAUAUUUUAGUACGAAAGGACCAAAUAUUUAAUAUAAUUAUAUUUAUUUUUUGAAUGAUAAU